GAGGGUGUAGCUCAGUGGUAGAGCACGUGCUUAGCAUGCACGAGGUCCUGGGUUCGAUUCCCAUUACCUCCA
rnacentral:tRNA from 1 species